AUGAAUGCCUACGCUCUGCACUCGAUGGAGGUGAAGGCGAAGCCGGCGAGGGGCGGGAAGAGGAGCAGGGCGAGCGGCGGCAUGGCGGUGGUCCUGCUGGAGAAGAAGGAGUCGGAGAAGGAGAGGAGGAAGCGCAUGAAGGCGCUCUGCGAGAAGCUUGCAUCCCUAAUUCCAAGAGAACACUGCUGCUCCAGCACUGAUACAAUGACCCAGCUAGGCAGCCUGGACGUGGGGGCGUCAUACAUCAAGAAGCUGAAGGAGAGGGUCGACGAGCUGCAACGUAGGAGGAACUCUGUGCAGGCCUUGGAUACCUUAAGAGGAGAUACUAGCAUCCCAACACCCACUACCACCACUACCACAAGCAGCAGUGCAAGGUCGCCGGAAGAAGAGAAAGCUUGGGAGGCAUUGGAACCAGUAUUGCAGGUGCGGCAACACGACGAUUCAAGCAUGGAGGUGAGACUGAUAUGUUGCAUGGAGAGGCCGAUCAAGCUCCAUGAGGUGAUCACCAUCCAUGAGGAAGAAGGUGCUGAGAUCAUCAAUGCCAAUCGCUCUGUUGCUGGCCACAAAAUGUUGUACACUAUACACUCUCGGCUCCGACUUUUUUCACAUGAAAAUCAGGCACCGUCGUGCAUGCGCAGCGAUAGGGUCCUCAGGUACACCGAUGGAGCCAACGCGACUCCUCCCAAGGAGCUCGUCAGCAACAAUGAUAUAGGUGGAACCAAUAAGGUGACAAACCACGAGUGUGAGUCUUGGGUUGAGCAAGACCAAGUGACGUGGAGUUCAAUGCUUGCGUCAGUAUCACCAGAGCUGCUCGAGUAG
rnacentral:rRNA from 1 species